GGUAACCUGCGGAAGGAUCAUUAACGAGUUAGGGUCUCUCUGGCCCGACCUCCCAACCCUAUGUCUACUUGACCAUCGUUGCUUCGGCGAGCCCGUCCUCACGGACCGCCGGAGGGACCUUCACCGGCCCUCUGGUCCGCGCUCGUCGGUAGCCCAACCAUUAAAAUCUUUAACCAAACGUGCCUUAAUCUAAGUACAAUUAUUAAAUAAAAGCAAAACUUUCAACAACGGAUCUCUUGGUUCUGGCAUCGAUGAAGAACGCAGCGAAAUGCGAUAAGUAAUGCGAAUUGCAGAAUUCCAGUGAGUCAUCGAAUCUUUGAACGCACAUUGCGCCCUUUGGUAUUCCGAAGGGCAUGCCUGUUCGAGCGUCAUUAUCACCCCUCAAGCCCCUGGCUUGGUGUUGGACGGUUUGGUGGAGGCCCCCUCGGGGGCUCCUGCCCCUCCCAAAGACAAUGACGGCGGCCUCGUUGGACCCCCGGUACACUGAGUUCUUCACGGGACACGUAUCGGAUACAUGGGUUUACGGGACACGGUCUGCCUCCCCUCAGGGAGAAUCUUUCUAAGGUUGACCUCGGAUCAGGUAGGGAUACCCGCUGAACUUAAGCAUAUCAAUAA
rnacentral:rRNA from 1 species